rnacentral:rRNA from 1 species
GUUGUAUCUCGGCUCAGACGAACGCUCGCGGCACGCUUAACACAUGCAAGUCAACGGGAACUUGGAGAGGGCUUGGCUCUCUUAAGUUAGUGGCGGACGGGUGAGUAACACGUGAGCAACCUGCCUUUAAGAGUGGGAUAACGGUCGGAAACGAACCGCUAAUACCGCAUAACAUACACGAACCGCAUGGUUUGUGUAUCAAAGAUUUAUCGCUUAAAGAUGGGCUCGCAUCUGAUUAGCUUGUUGGUGAGGUAACGGCUCACCAAGGCGACGAUCAGUAGCCGUACUGAGAGGUAGAGCGGCCACAUUGGGACUGAGACACGGCCCAGACUCCUACGGGAGGCAGCAGUGGGGAAUAUUGCACAAUGGAGGAAACUCUGAUGCAGCGAUGCCGCGUGAGGGAAGAAGGUUUUCGGAUUGUAAACCUCUGUCUUAAGGGACGAUAAUGACGGUACCUUAGGAGGAAGCUCCGGCUAACUACGUG